rnacentral:rRNA from 1 species
AUCCCGGAGACCCUUAGGAAACUAGGGGGUGCUUCCAUCUGGAAGGAAUCUGGAGACAGGUGCUGCAUGGCUGUCGUCAGCUCGUGUCGUGAGAUGUUGGGUUAAGUCCCGCAACGAGCGCAACCCUUGUCCUUAGUUACCAGCACGUUAUGGUGGGCACUCUAAGGAGACUGCCGGUGACAAACCGGAGGAAGGUAGGGAUGACGUCAAGUCAUCAUGGCCCUUACGGCCUGGGCUACACACGUGCUACAAUGGUCGGUACAAAGGGUUGCCAAGACCGCGAGGUGGAGCUAAUCCCAUAAAACCGAUCGUAGUCCGGAUCGCAGUCUGCAACUCGACUGCGUGAAGUCGGAAUCGCUAGUAAUCGUGAAAUCAGAAUGUCACGGUGGAAUACGUUCCCGGGCCGUU